ensembl:lncRNA LINC03073 long intergenic non-protein coding RNA 3073
ACUCCACUGUUUGGCUGGGAAAGGACCGAGACGCGCUCAGUGCACAGGGGGCCGGCUGCGGCCAUAAAUCUCCGGGCGGGCCCUCCUUCCCGCUGCUCACGCCGGGGUGCUCCGGGCCGGUCUCGUGUCCCGGGCCACGCCGCGCACCCUGCUCACCCCAUCACGGCCUGGGGACCCGGAGACUGCGCAGGGAACCACGCCAGGAGCUUCUCCGUUCACCAAAGAGAGGGAACGGCCUCGUUCCUCGGUGUCAACACCAUCCAUCUCUGAGGGCGCUGGACCCUGAGGUGGCCCGAGCUUCACAGGAUCACCGCCUUGGGGUAGGGGCGCCCGGGCCUGGCAUUUCCUCCUAGGAAGGCUCGGUGAGACUGGGAUGGGCAUGCGGCUCUCCGCUCGAGCCCAACUCCGGUGCCACCUGCACCACGGAGGGGUGACCCCAGGGUCAGGGUCAGAGCGGCUUCUCAGAAUUCAGCUUGCCACCUCUCCGCGGACCCUGCCUUCAUCUCGUGCCUCCUCAGAGCCCUCUGCGGGCGCAUGAAGGGCCUUUUUUUUUUUUUUUUUUUUUUUUUUUGGCACAGGUGGACCAACGGGGGGUGUGACUGUGGGCACCGUGCGCGGAGGCGGAGGCUCAUCUGGUUCCCACCCUCCGUGCCGCUGGAUGCCCCAGGAUUUUCUCCAACCGGGGUCCCGGCUUGGAGCCCUCCUUGGUGCGAGCUUUGGCUCAGCAAUGGGGAAAGCGGGAAUGGGUCUCGCCCUUGUGGCUGCCUGGUGGAAGCGGCGGUUUUGACACACGAAUAGUCGUGGGGAGCAGAUCCAGAGAGGGCGCAUUUGCAAUAAUAACGCUUAGUUUAUCUCUGCCAGAGGGGCGGGAACAGGCCUUCGCGCUGGUGUCUUACAUCAGCCAAGCAAACCAUGGGCGCGAUUGGAGCCAACCACCUCCAGCGGGGUUUUGCUCCAGACUUAAGGUGCACGGAAACCGGAGCAUUCAGCCCUUCAUGGAUGCCUCCCGAAAACCUCACCAUGCCAGUGACACGACUGCAAACGGCGGGUGGCACAUGCCGGGGGCUUGGGAUGGGAGGGUUUGGAAACCUCGCUCCAAGGACGCCCUCAGCCAAGGAGCUUCGGCUCCUUCCUAGAAUUUCUAGAAGCACUUUUGGAGGGACCGAGGGCUUCCGGCCGGGCCCAGAGGAAUUUGAGCGCUUGCCCGGGCAGGCAGAAGCGCAGCCUGGGAGUGGAGAGGCUGCUGGGCCACAUUCCGGCCCAGCUUCCCCCGCUAGGCCCCAGCCCUGCCGCGGCGCCCCAGGAAGCACCUCCGAAAACAAAGCGCUGUGGUUUCAGCCCAAGGUUAAAGUCCACCGCGAGCGUGUUUUUUCCCCCCUCCAGAAUCUAAGAGCGAUAGCGUUUCUCCAAAUAAACCGCCAAUAAAUCAGCUCCCGGGGGCGCCUGCUGAAGAGCUCUGGUGACCUUGGGGGAUGGUUUUUCUGCCUGACCCGUCUGAGCACAGGCUUUGGGGAGGAGGGGGCAGUGUCAGCCCUACCCCUCCAGAGAGACGCGGAAGAGGGAAUGGCCAAGGGCAUUCGUGGGUGAUUACAGCAGUACGUGUGUACCCAGAGGAGAUGGGAGAGGCUUGGAAUGGGGGAAAGGGGCGACUGUGGUUAUCCGGGGGCCUGUAGUGCGCGGUCAGGAGGCGUUUGUGAUUGCGAGGAGGGCUGCUUGCUGUCGGUUCAACGAUUGCUGGAGCGCCGGCGGUGUCGGCACAGGUCUAGGCAUGGGGAAAGCACCACUGGGGACAGACACGGCCGCUUUGGGGCCCCGAGUCUUUGUCUGCCUGGGACUGGAUGUGUUUGUGUCGGUGUGACUAAUGGGAUUUAUGGAUGUCAGUGCCAGGGUGACUGAUGAAGGGCUUGGCAGCACGUGUGUUUGGGGAGAGGCGCUGCACCUAGGUGGGGAGUGGGUGCCCCGGGAGAGGACUGUCCCUUCUCUUAGAGGUUCCUUCCCCCACCCCCUCCCUGCCGGCUCCCAGCUUUGUUUAGGCCUCUGAACCCCUCCGGGGCAGGCCUGUGCACGCCGAGUUCUGCAGCAAAUUCCACGGCCAGCCUGUCCCUCAGAGGCACCUCAGCACGCCCCACCUCUCCCAGCCCCACCUCCCCAGCACACGCCACGCGUCCCAAAUCCAGGCUGUCCCACCCCCUUCCCAGGCAGAGCCUUCCCAGUUUGCUCUUUUCCCAUCUGAACUCCUUAUGGUGUGCUCUGAGCCCUGCUUCAGGCAGGCUUUGACGACCGUAUGGUUUGGGUACCGGCAUACCCAUUUAACAGAUGAAAAAGUUGAGGUGCAGAAAGGAGAUGUGACAAGCCCACGCAGCCAGGAAGUAGCAGGCACCCU